GGAAAGACUGAUUUAUUAAAAACACAUAAAAUAGAAGUACAUAAAGACAGAAUUUAUUUGCUCAUAGCAUUGAGAUUCACACACACACUCCAGUGGAGAUGGUGGAUCAGUCAAAGCCAUGCUUAUUAACAUUACUUAAAAGGAUAACACAAACACAAGCUUCAGUCUUCAUCCAGAAGCGGUAAAGGACUUAACCCAACAAUACGGUGCCAAGAAGUUGUGCAACAGGUGGGUAAAAUGAGCUGAUAUUCAACCCAGUUUGACGCUGUGCCGUGGACAUAACACCCAACAUCCCAAGCACCGACUGGAUUGGAGACACAGCCAUCGCUUAAUAUUAGAGAGCUUUUGAAAUAUGAAGACGAAAG
rnacentral:misc_RNA from 1 species